UGUAUUGAAACAGCUGAAUUCAGCUCUUGUCUAAAUCCUUGUAUCAUUUACGCUGUAGCCGGCUAGCCGUUACUCGGUCUCGUAUUUUACUUCUUGGAUACCAUUGGACUUGGAAGGUCUGCCGGUCUACUGGAUACCAUAGUGUCUACGGGUACGCAGAGUUUGAAUCAGGUUGAUGCCUACCGUAUGGACUGUUCAGUGAUAUUGAUUAUGAAACUCCAAGACCAAGGCCUUAUUAGGUCCCAGUGACAUAAACAACAUAGGUUGGUUGACAUUUGACUAGAAGUCUCUAGAUCUUUGGAAACAGCCUAUUUUUGCAAAACAGUUUGACCAAGUUACACGCGGACAAUGCUUCCCUGUGAUAUAAAAACUGUUUGAAAAGUUCUAUCGUCCACCUCGACAGUAGCUAUGAACCAGGAUAUAUUUGGCAAAGGAAACGAUUGCAAUAUGGGCGAAGAACUGGAAUACUUUGACAGUAUUUUGAGGCAACAUACUGACUGUAACGACGCCCAAAGUUCUCACCAGUCUCACCAGCAAGUGGAUUCAUCUCAAUUAGGCAUGGAGGCGUGUAUUUCUGGUACAAUCAAUGGCAUGGAGCAAAUUCGCAAGCAUAACGUGGAUCCAAACUUGGAUCCUCUAUUAGAGAAAUUGUGU